AUUUUCUUGUUGGGAUACAGAAGAGAAAGGGAUGUAGGGGUAUUGGACAAAUUCACAAGUAUCACAUGCAAUAUUUCUUGAAUAUAUUCCCCUGUUCAAAGGGUUACAGUAUGCAUUGUUGCAGUGCGUCUGUUGGAUAUCAGUGCUGUAGGGUACAUCACUAUUGCUCGAGGAGGGUGAUUCCCCCUGUUUGAUCCCAACCUUGCGCCCCCGUGUGUCUGGCUUCUCUGCCCUAGUUUUAGCGCAUUGCUGGGUGUAUCCCUCUGUCGUUGUUG